rnacentral:rRNA from 1 species
CCUACGGGAGGCAGCAGUGGGGAAUAUUGGGCAAUGGGCGCAAGCCUGACCCAGCAACGCCGCGUGAAGGAAGAAGGCUUUCGGGUUGUAAACUUCUUUUCUCAGGGACGAAGAAAGUGACGGUACCUGAGGAAUAAGCCACGGCUAACUACGUGCCAGCAGCCGCGGUAAUACGUAGGUCGCAAGCGUUAUCCGGAUUUACUGGGUGUAAAGGGCGUGUAGGCGGGAAAGCAAGUCAGAUGUGAAAACGAUGGGCUCAACCUGUGGCCUGCAUUUGAAACUGGUUUUCUUGAGUACUGGGGAGGCAGACGGAAUUCCUCGUGUAGCGGUGAAAUGCGUAGAUAUGAGGAGGAACACCAGUGGCGAAGGCGGUCUGCUGGACAGCAACUGACGCUGAGGCGCGAAAGCGUGGGGAGCAAACAGGAUUAGAUACCCGGGUAGUC